GAUGAACGCUAGCGGCAGGCCUAACACACGCAAGUCGAGGGGCAGCACAGAAACGGCAAUGUUUUGGUGGCGACCGGCGGACGGGUGCGUAACGCGUAUGCAACCUACCUUUAACAGGGGGAUAACGGAGAGAAAUUUCCACUAAUACCCCAUAACAUCGAUCAAGGCAUCUUGAUUGGUUGAAAACUCCGGUGGUUAAAGAUGGGCAUGCGUUGUAUUAGGUAGUUGGUGAGGUAAUGGCUCACCAAGCCUACGAUACAUAGGGGGACUGAGAGGUUAGCCCCCCACACUGGUACUGAGACACGGACCAGACUCCUACGGGAGGCAGCAGUGAGGAAUAUUGGUCAAUGGGGCAACCCUGAACCAGCCAUGCCGCGUGCAGGAAGACGGCUCUAUGAGUUGUAGACUGCUUUUAAACAGGGAUAAAGCACAGUAUGUAUACUGUGUUGAAGGUACUGUAAGAAUAAGGAUCGGCUAACUCCGUGCCAGCCGCCGCGGUAA
rnacentral:rRNA from 1 species